UAUAAGGAACAUGGAUACAGUGAAUUAUUGGUUAUGUCAAACUCCAGCCAAAGGUUUCAAUAAUUACAGGAGCCUCGCCUACCAAUCGGCAGCGUUCUCUGACCAUGUUCGGAAGUGUUGCAGGGCCCCUAUAAGGCUUCCCAUGACGAUUCUGAGCACAUUCCCUGACUGAGAAGCCUGCUUUGAACACCCCAAGAUAACUUCCACAGCUCUACAAUGACUGCUCGUACUGGAAAGACGUUUUUCACUCAAGGUGCCAGUUAGAGAACCAAGAGAUUAUACCUAAACCCAACUUAUUCAAAUUUCAUUACUUUCUGGUCACAAGAAGAUUCCAGCCUGACGUACCAGAGCAGCCACCUUUUCUGAGCACCUGGUUUCGAUAUCUCCACUGAAAUUCGAUCAUGAAUAUCUCAAAUUACGUUCUAUCUUCUUGCUUUCUAAAAUAUGGGUGUGCUAUAACAUUGUGACCCCCUACAACUUUCCCAUGUAACCAACUGCUUCGAUGUUGAUAGUUAAAAUGUUAAUUAACAAGGUCUUGUUAAUUGGUCUCUUUAAGGUAGCUUUAGCAAUGACAAGGUAUUUCCGCUACAACGUAACGUUUGGGUGCAAAGACAACAGGUCCUUUACUGUAAUAGCAUUGUAAUAAAAAAUCAGUAUCGGCUAAAAAAUA